GCGCCCGUAGCUCAGCCUGGAUAGAGCGAAAGGUUCCUAACCUUUAGGCCGAGGGUUCGAAUCCCUUCGGGCGCG
rnacentral:tRNA from 1 species